AGAAGGAUGCGUGUCUAACAAGGCUGGCAGUGGCAAUCCAAUAUUCUGACUGUGGAACUGGACAGGUCUAAGAGUCUCACAGGUGGUCCCAUCCGGGCUGCACUCUGUGGGCUCAUCAGCCAUUUUUGUACCUGUUUAAAUUUCAUGUCACAGAUGCCCAAGACAGUGGUGAAGAAUUUUUUUCCUUUCCAACUUUUUAGAGGAGGUUCCUGUGCAGAUUUGUCACGUGGGUAGAAUGUGUGUUGCUGGGGUCUGGUGUGCAGAUUCUUCGGUCACCCAGGUAAUAAGUGCAGCACGUAUUUUUCAAUCCUCGCUCUCCUCCCACAGUCCACCCUCAAGUAGGCCCCGGUGUCUUUUGUUCCCUUCUUUGUGUUCAUGGGUUCUUAGCAUUUAGCUCCCACUUGUAAGUGAGAACUUGCAGUGUUUGGUUUUCUGUUCUUGUGUUGAUUCGUUGAGGAGAAUAGUCUCCUGUUCCAUCCAUGUUGCUGCAAAAUACAUUAUUUUCUUCUUUUUUAUGGCUGUGUAGUUAAGAAUUAAGAAUUGGGGUUUAAAGUUGUGGAGAGGAGCUGAUGAGGAGAUGGAACAGGAUAAUAUUCAACUACGGUAUUUCUUUUUCAAAGCUUAUUCAGGUAAAACAGUUUUAUCAAAGGGUAGAGGCCCUCUUUAGCAACAUGCUAGUGGAGAAUACCCCCCUUUGCCUGCCCAAGACAUACAGAAAAGAAGGAUUGUAGAAGGUCCCACGAAAACAUUAGAAUUAGGAGGCUGGAAUUUAAACUUAGCAAAGGAAAGCAGUAUCGGAACAGCGGUUUCAAGAACCCAGUCACGUCGCACAUUCUCAAGGAUGCUGCUGAGAAAACAGUGAGUCUUGGGCUUGCCUAAGGCCCCUUCCAACUCUGCAUGCUCUCUCUGUUCCUAUCCCUAAAUUGUCCAGUGACCAGCACAGGUUAUCUUACUGAGCUGGGCUUUCUAAUACACUGGAGGUCUCUUCCAGGCAGUGGUGUACUGGUACAGCCUCGUGGGAGCCAGUUUUGAGUAUUUCUUCCCAGUCCUCACUCCGUGUUGACAGGAUGGUAGCUUGAAAUCCAUCACGGUGGAAGUAUUUACACCAUGGAAACUGGCAAUUGGCAAAUGCUGCCAAUCAGCCAUCCUUACCACCUCUGGGCCCAUAGGCCUGGCCCAUUGUUAAAUUAUAUCCACACAUCAUUGCCUCUAAGUGACAUACCUGGGCUACCUGGGCUGUUUUCUCUGCAGUGAUCUACUUCCUAGCCCCUCUUUGUAUUUAUAAAUUUGGUUGACCGCCCCUUUCCACAUCACUGAUGAAGAUCAGGCCUAGGAAAAUAGCUACCCGGAAUCUAAUUUUAGUAAUGUUUUUGUUUCAGGAAAAAUCAUCUUAUCUAAUUUUACAUAAUAGAGGUUCAGCGCAGUAGAGUAGUUGAUAUCAUGGCUUUUCCAGCCAGACAACCUGGGUUCAGAUUCCAGUUAUUUUAUUUGCAGUUUACAGGAUCUUAAAGGGGUUGCUAGAUGUCUCCAUACCUUGAUGUCCUCAUUCAGGGUGAUGGAUUCAAUCCUUGUGUAUCAUGCAGUAGUUUUAAAGAUUAAAUAGGUUCAUACGUAUGAAGCACUUAGGAAACAUCAGGCACACGGUAGGUGUUGUUAGUAUUCAGCAGACAAUUCCUCAUGUACAACUGUGUAUCUGGCAGUGUCUGUUAAGCUUCUCGGUAUGCCCAGUGCUGCUUGAAUAUAAUCAGAUGGCUAUUAUAGGCAAUACAGUAAAGAUGAUGAAGCCGUCAUGUACACUGUUGUUCUUUUUGUCAUUCUCAAAACUUAAUCUAUCCGAAGGAGAAGGGUUACUAGGAGUGUGAAAUUUAAUGGGUAAUUUCUACCUUACAUUCCACGCUCAGUAGUAUGGAGUUGAUACCCUCCUAGGGAGCUGAGAGACUUUACAGGUUUUUUAAGUCAGGAGCAUAGCUAGGAACCUUAUGUUCAUUACUUCAAACUUCUAAGCUAGAUAAUAUCAUUACUUGGAUUUUCCAGGUGCAGAGAAUGAGGAUCAGAAAUGUUGAAGAGUUUGCCCAGAGAUCCAGCCAGCAAAUAGCCAGCUUCAGGGCUGAUAGGACCGUCAUUGUCCCUGACCAUGACCCGUCACAUGGCCAGCUCCAGAUGGAUUGGAAGGUCUGCGGGAACUAGCUUUGGCCUAGGCCGAGAUCAUCCGACCAGACCUUCUCCUGCUUCCUAUUUAGGAGAACACAGACCCCAGGUGUCCCACUGCAGAGUCCCAGUGUAUGAAGGUCAACCCAGAGUGAGACCUCCAGCUUCCUCCUGGAAAACUCCUACUCACUCUGCAAGAUUCAACUCCAGAACAUGACGUGUCCUGAUCCUAGUCUAGGCAGUCAGUCUCAGUUUCUCCCAGACCUGCUGAGCACCUGCUCCCACCUCCAUCUGAGCACUCAAGUGGUCAGUGCAGGGUUUCACCUGUACUUACCUCCAUCUGUGUACUCAGCUAGUUUUCACCUCCAUCCAAGAAUCCUCCAAGAAUUCACAGAACCUUCUGCCAUGACUGUCCUGCCCUCCCCCACUUCCAUGUGAGCUCCUAGAGGCCAACUACUCCAUCUUAUUUAUUUUUACACACUCAGCACCUGCCACUUAGAAGAUGACCGAAAAAGAGUUUAAUGAAUGCUUGUGUCUUAUAAUCAAGUCUGAAACUUCCUUCUGUGGGACACUUCCGUGCAGCCACUGCCUCUAUUCUAAGAAUUGUGAUCACAGGGACAAGAGAUGCAUUUCAUUUUUCUUUGAAGUGCCACGAGGUCUAAUAUUAUUUGGGUACAUCUGUACAACUUCCUGUGUCUGGAAAAUGUGUUUAAAAAUCAGAUGAAAGAUGGCCAAAUAAAGUUUGUAUCACCUCCUUUCAUCCU